GAUAGUACCUUACUACAUGGAUAACCGUGGUAAUUCUAGAGCUAAUACAUGCUGAAAACCUCGACUUCGGAAGAGGUGUAUUUAUUAGAUAAAAAACCAACGCCCUUCGGGGCUUCUUGGUGAUUCAUGAUAACUUUACGGAUCGCAUGGCCUUGCGCCGGCGACGGUUCAUUCAAAUUUCUGCCCUAUCAACUUUCGAUGGUAAGGUAUUGGCUUACCAUGGUUUCAACGGGUAACGGGGAAUUAGGGUUCGAUUCCGGAGAGGGAGCCUGAGAAACGGCUACCACAUCCAAGGAAGGCAGCAGGCGCGCAAAUUACCCAAUCCCGAUACGGGGAGGUAGUGACAAUAAAUACUGAUACAGGGCUCUUUUGGGUCUUGUAAUUGGAAUGAGUACAAUUUAAACCUCUUAACGAGGAACAAUUGGAGGGCAAGUCUGGUGCCAGCAGCCGCGGUAAUUCCAGCUCCAAUAGCGUAUAUUAAAGUUGUUGCAGUUAAAAAGCUCGUAGUUGAAACUUGGGUCUGGCUGGCAGGUCCGCCUCACCGCGUGUACUUGUCCGGCCGGGCCUUCCUUCUGGAGAACCUCAUGCCCUUCACUGGGCGUGUUGGGGACCAGGACUUUUACUUUGAAAAAAUUAGAGUGUUCAAAGCAGGCCUUUGCUCGAAUACGUUAGCAUGGAAUAAUAGAAUAGGACGUGCGGUCCUAUUUUGUUGGUUUCUAGGACCGCCGUAAUGAUUAAUAGGGACAGUCGGGGGCAUCAGUAUUCAAUUGUCAGAGGUGAAAUUCUUGGAUUUAUUGAAGACUAACUACUGCGAAAGCAUUUGCCAAGGAUGUUUUCAUUAAUCAGUGAACGAAAGUUAGGGGAUCGAAGACGAUCAGAUACCGUCGUAGUCUUAACCGUAAACUAUGCCGACUAGGGAUCGGGCGA
rnacentral:rRNA from 1 species